AUAUUUUUUUGGCAGGGGCGACACCAUUAUCCCGAAGGUGGUUCUCACAGGGGUGUGGAUCAUCCAAAGCACUUCGGAUGUGUUGUCCCCUGCGAUUCCUCCAAACGUGGGAAACUCUAAAGCAUAAUUUGAGGUAGUGGGGGGGAGGAAUGCGUUUGCACUUUCCCCUG
rnacentral:snRNA from 1 species